GCUGUUUUCAACGGAACGAUUGUCAUUAGUAGUGGUAGACUGACGUUCUACCCAAAUACUAAAAGGCCAGUUGAUGUUACGAAAUUAUGACUCCUGAGUGAUUAUAAUUUAGUACCACGACUCUGACGGGGUUGCUCCUGCCUAGAGUUGUCGGUUUAACUGAUGGUCUUCCAACUAAUGAACUUUUUUAACUAAUAUAUAUGAAGCAAAAUUUAAACUUAAGAGAUAAGAAAACGAUUCGUGUGGAUGGAGUUUGAAUGGGUUGUGGGUGUGACCAGUCAUUUGUUGCUGUUUGUCUCGCUGUAAAGCUGGCCGUGACCGUGGCAACGAACAUCGACGAGCUGUGUUGGCUCCUCUGCCCUGCCCGUGUGCAAACAUGUUUGGCUAUUUUUUUCGCCAAAAAUUUACAUAAAAAUCGCAUUACACUUAACAUCCACUUUGCUAAACGAAGCGCAUGAAAGCGGGCGCCACGUGGUUUCGGCUCUCGACUGUGCUUUUGUAA